UACGGGGGGAGCAAGCGUUGUUCGGAAUUACUGGGCGUAAAGGGUCUGUAGGUGGCCAACUAAGUCAGACGUGAAAUCCCUCAGCUUAACUGGGGAACUGCGUCUGAUACUGGUUGGCUUGAGUGCAGGAGAGGAAUGCGGAAUUCCAGGUGUAGCGGUGAAAUGCGUAGAUAUCAGGAGGAACACCGGUGGCGAAGGCGGGUCUCUGGGCAAUAACUGACGCUGAGGAGCGAAAGCGUGGGGAGCGAACAGG
rnacentral:rRNA from 1 species